GAAAUGAAACCGAAACCGAACGGGCGGCGCACUUUCUCACCGGCGCCUCCCGAGGUCCCUGCGCCCCGCACCCUCAGCUGUAUCCUAGAGGCACUCGAGGUGCGCCCCGCACCAGCAGCACCCCGAGGCGCUUGAGGGAAAUGCAGAUUCUCGGCCUGCACCCAGACCUGCUGCAUCAGAAACUCCGAGCUUUAUCCGGCCCUUCUGAAGUUCCUUGGCAGUUUGAGAACCUCUGUUCAAGCAGCCCUGAGUCAUCCAAAGCCGAAGCUGACACAAAGAAGAGUGAAGACUUAAAUCUGAGGCAUGAUCUUACUUCUUCAAACCGCAGAAGGCUCUCCCCUUGACUCCUGUACAGAAAUGAACCCAGGAAGAACCACUGGCAAAAGUGAAAAUUGGCCAGGGCACAAGUCACUGCCCGGGCCAGAACUAGGAACAGAAGUUCAUGGCCUUUUACCUGAAUUGUGGACUAUUCUUCCCCUACUAGAGAGACACUGAUGACUCUAUAUUCUACCAGGUAAG